GAUGAACGCUAGCUACAGGCUUAACACAUGCAAGUCGAGGGGAAACGACAUCGAAAGCUUGCUUUUGAUGGGCGUCGACCGGCGCACGGGUGAGUAACGCGUAUCCAACCUGCCCAUCACUUGGGAAUAACCUUGCGAAAGUAAGACUAAUACCCAAUGAUAUCCCACGAAGGCAUCGGAAUGGGAUUAAAGAUUUAUCGGUGAUGGAUGGGGAUGCGUCUGAUUAGCUUGUUGGCGGGGUAACGGCCCACCAAGGCAACGAUCAGUAGGGGUUCUGAGAGGAAGGUCCCCCACAUUGGAACUGAGACACGGUCCAAACUCCUACGGGAGGCAGCAGUGAGGAAUAUUGGUCAAUGGGCGAGAGCCUGAACCAGCCAAGUAGCGUGCAGGAAGACGGCCCUAUGGGUUGUAAACUGCUUUUAUAAGGGAAUAAAGUGGGUCACGUGUGACUUCUUGCAUGUACCUUAUGAAUAAGGACCGGCUAAUUCCGUG
rnacentral:rRNA from 1 species